rnacentral:lncRNA from 10 species
GUGAGAAGACCUUACUUGUCUUCUGAAAGUCUGAAAAGCUGGGAUACAUGAAGACUGCCAUCCCUUGAGUCACUUGCCCUGUAGCUGCCACUGUUGGAAAAGGGCUUGCUUCUGUGUCCUUGUGCCCACUUUGAAAAUCCCUGGGAAGUCCUUGGAGUCAGAUGAGCAGGCCUCCGCCACUCUGCCAAAAAGUCUGUUCAAUCAGGAGUCCCCAACCCCUGAGCCAUGGACUGAUAUGGAGCUAUGGUCUGUUAGGAACUGGGCUGCCCAGGAGGAGGAAGUUUCACAUCACUAGAGAAGAGAGAAGAAGGACAUUUGUACUGGGAGGAGUCGACCGGUCCCAGUAAGGAGAAAGUAGCUACAGCGUCAUGGGUGAGCUGGGUCCCCCAAAAAGGAACUUUAAGGGAAUGGACUGAAUCAAGUCUGAGAUGUCCCCAAAGCAAGACCAAAGAACUGAGGAAGAGAAGCAUUCAUCAGAAACCAAAAUUCAGCUACAAGUGAGCAUCCAGAUGGAGGUAUUAUGAAGAGGAACUGAGACUGAGGGCAAAAGGUGCCAGCCAGAAUCCUGGAUAGGAGAGCAAGAACCAGGACCUCAUUUAAGAGACAACCUGCUUAAGGCAGAGUAAGGUGAGAUUGGAUUCACGCAAAGACCUGGAAUUCAAGUAGGUUAAUGAACAGACAGUGUGUGCCUAUACCACGAAUUUACAAUAAUAAUAAGGGUGCUAAUAAUCACAUGGAAUUGUAGAGUAUAAUGAAAAUAUACACACUGGAGAGAAAUUGCACGGGUUGGCAUCUCAGCUUUGUCAUUUACUAUAACAGUGACCUUGGGCAAGUUAUUUAACCACUCUCUGCCUCAAUUUCCUGAUCAGUAAAAUGAGCUAAUAAUACUUUCUUUUUAUUUUGAGAUGGAGUCUCACUCUUUCACUGAGGCUGGAGUGCAGUGGUGCGAUCUCGGCUCACUGCAGCCUCCACCUCCCAGGUUCAAGCGAUUCUCCUGCCUCAGCCUCCCCAGUAACCAGGAUUACAAACAUGCACCACCAUACCCAGCUAACAUAAAUAUGAAUAUAUUAUAUAUAUAUUUGUACUUUUAGUAGAGAUGAGGUUUCACCAUGUUGGCCAGGCUGGUCUUGAAUUCCUGACCUCAAGUGAUCUGCCUGCCUCGGUCUCCCAAAGUGCUGAGAUUACAGGCAUAAACCACCAGGCUUGCACUAUUGAUAAUUAUUAUAGCAUAAAGUUUUUCUGAGGACUAAAUGGGGCAAAAUACGUAAAACACUAAUUAUAAUUAUUGGCAAAUCCCAUAAUGCUUGUUGUUAUUAGUAUACUUAGAAUUAUUUUAACAUUAAAAACUGAAAACUGAAGCUCUGAGAGUCUGUGUGACUUUGAGGAUUAAAGAACUGAAAAAUGGUAGAAGUAGAAUUUGAACUAAGAAAGUACGGUUAUUGAAUGCAUGGAUUUAAUCCCUAUUAAAUACUUUAUCUUCCAAAAUCUAUGACUCUUUAGUCUUCUUUGUUAACAAAACCUACUUUACGAAAUACAGAACUCUCAGUUGUAUAUAUCAAAUAAUAUUUGUCUGUAGCUGAAUUCUGUGAACGUAUCCAGUCAUCCAUUCCAUAGUUGUAAGAGCAUUACUUUUUGAGACGGAGUCUUGCUCUGUUGCCCAGGCCGGAGUGCAGUGGCGCGAUCUCGGCUCACUGCAGGCUCCACCUCCUGGGUUCACGCCAUUCUCCC